AUAAUGGGUCAGCGACUUAUAUUCUGUAGCAAGGUUAACCGAAUAGGGGAGCCGAAGGGAAACCGAGUCUUAACUGGGCGUUAAGUUGCAGGGUAUAGACCCGAAACCCGGUGAUCUAGCCAUGGGCAGGUUGAAGGUUGGGUAACACUAACUGGAGGACCGAACCGACUAAUGUUGAAAAAUUAGCGGAUGACUUGUGGCUGGGGGUGAAAGGCCAAUCAAACCGGGAGAUAGCUGGUUCUCCCCGAAAGCUAUUUAGGUAGCGCCUCGUGAAUUCAUCUCCGGGGGUAGAGCACUGUUUCGGCAAGGGGGUCAUCCCGACUUACCAACCCGAUGCAAACUGCGAAUACCGGAGAAUGUUAUCACGGGAGACACACGGCGGGUGCUAACGUCCGUCGUGAAGAGGGAAACAACCCAGACCGCCAGCUAAGGUCCCAAAGUCAUGGUUAAGUGGGAAACGAUGUGGGAAGGCCCAGACAGCCAGGAUGUUGGCUUAGAAGCAGCCAUCAUUUAAAGAAAGCGUAAUAGCUCACUGGUCGAGUCGGCCUGCGCGGAAGAUGUAACGGGGCUAAACCAUGCACCGAAGCUGCGGCAGCGACACUGUGUGUUGUUGGGUAGGGGAGCGUUCUGUAAGCCUGCGAAGGUGUGCUGUGAGGCAUGCUGGAGGUAUCAGAAGUGCGAAUGCUGACAUAAGUAACGAUAAAGCGGGUGAAAAGCCCGCUCGCCGGAAGACCAAGGGUUCCUGUCCAACGUUAAUCGGGGCAGGGUGAGUCGACCCCUAAGGCGAGGCCGAAAGGCGUAGUCGAUGGGAAACAGGUUAAUAUUCCUGUACUUGGUGUUACUGCGAAGGGGGGACGGAGAAGGCUAUGUUGGCCGGGCGACGGUUGUCCCGGUUUAAGCGUGUAGGCUGGUUUUCCAGGCAAAUCCGGAAAAUCAAGGCUGAGGCGUGAUGACGAGGCACUACGGUGCUGAAGCAACAAAUGCCCUGCUUCCAGGAAAAGCCUCUAAGCAUCAGGUAACAUCAAAUCGUACCCCAAACCGACACAGGUGGUCAGGUAGAGAAUACCAAGGCGCUUGAGAGAACUCGGGUGAAGGAACUAGGCAAAAUGGUGCCGUAACUUCGGGAGAAGGCACGCUGAUAUGUAGGUGAAGUCCCUCGCGGAUGGAGCUGAAAUCAGUCGAAGAUACCAGCUGGCUGCAACUGUUUAUUAAAAACACAGCACUGUGCAAACACGAAAGUGGACGUAUACGGUGUGACGCCUGCCCGGUGCCGGAAGGUUAAUUGAUGGGGUCAGCGCAAGCGAAGCUCUUGAUCGAAGCCCCGGUAAACGGCGGCCGUAACUAUAACGGUCCUAAGGUAGCGAAAUUCCUUGUCGGGUAAGUUCCGACCUGCACGAAUGGCGUAAUGAUGGCCAGGCUGUCUCCACCCGAGACUCAGUGAAAUUGAACUCGCUGUGAAGAUGCAGUGUACCCGCGGCAAGACGGAAAGACCCCGUGAACCUUUACUAUAGCUUGACACUGAACAUUGAGCCUUGAUGUGUAGGAUAGGUGGGAGGCUUUGAAGUGUGGACGCCAGUCUGCAUGGAGCCGACCUUGAAAUACCACCCUUUAAUGUUUGAUGUUCUAACGUUGACCCGUGAUCCGGGUUGCGGACAGUGUCUGGUGGGUAGUUUGACUGGGGCGGUCUCCUCCUAAAGAGUAACGGAGGAGCACGAAGGUUGGCUAAUCCUGGUCGGACAUCAGGAGGUUAGUGCAAUGGCAUAAGCCAGCUUGACUGCGAGCGUGACGGCGCGAGCAGGUGCGAAAGCAGGUCAUAGUGAUCCGGUGGUUCUGAAUGGAAGGGCCAUCGCUCAACGGAUAAAAGGUACUCCGGGGAUAACAGGCUGAUACCGCCCAAGAGUUCAUAUCGACGGCGGUGUUUGGCACCUCGAUGUCGGCUCAUCACAUCCUGGGGCUGAAGUAGGUCCCAAGGGUAUGGCUGUUCGCCAUUUAAAGUGGUACGCGAGCUGGGUUUAGAACGUCGUGAGACAGUUCGGUCCCUAUCUGCCGUGGGCGCUGGAGAACUGAGGGGGGCUGCUCCUAGUACGAGAGGACCGGAGUGGACGCAUCACUGGUGUUCGGGUUGUCAUGCCAAUGGCACUGCCCGGUAGCUAAAUGCGGAAGAGAUAAGUGCUGAAAGCAUCUAAGCACGAAACUUGCCCCGAGAUGAGUUCUCCCUGACUCCUUGAGAGUCCUGAAGGAACGUUGAAGACGACGACGUUGAUAGGCCGGGUGUGUAAGCGCAGCGAUGCGUUGAGCUAACCGGUACUAAUGAACCGUGAGG
rnacentral:rRNA from 1 species